CCUACGGGGGGCAGCAGUAGGGAAUCUUCCACAAUGGACGAAAGUCUGAUGGAGCAACGCCGCGUGAGUGAAGAAGGGUUUCGGCUCGUAAAGAUCUGUUGGUAGUGAAGAAAGAUAGAGGUAGUAACUGGCCUUUAUUUGACGGUAAUUACUUAGAAAGUCACGGAUAACUACGUGCCAGCAGCCGCGGUAAUACGUAGGGGGCAAGCGUUGUCCGGAUUUAUUGGGCGUAAAGCGAGUGCAGGCGGUUAUAAUAAGUUGGUGUGAGA
rnacentral:rRNA from 1 species